GUCCAAAUCACGUCUAACGUGGUCUUGGGGCCUGCCUCUGGGCAGCCCUUAAACGCAGUGGCGGCGCCGUCUGGCUCUAAGCGUAGUAAUUCUUCUCGCUAUAGGGUCCUGCGGAUGCUUGCCAGCAACCCCCAAUACACUAG
rnacentral:misc_RNA from 1 species